UUACGUGCUGUGAACCGAAGAAGGGGGCUAUGGCAUGCGACUUUUCCGAAGAGUAUAAAAGAGACACCGCAACGCAUAUUUUCAAAAAUACUACAAACGCGAAAAGUCUUUGCAACUUUCAAUAUUUUCAAUAAUGUACGUAAAAAGAAAAGUUCUCGUAUCUACUGUCCUGUGCAUCAUGACUGUUGCAGCACUUUGGGCUGUAGCGGAUGCAUGGCCUACAAGCCGCUCGCAACAGUGGGAGAAGUAAAAGAAGAAGCACCACACCACUUUAAAAGCUUUCAUGGAAUAACAGACAGAAAAACUAAAAUAAAGAAAAAUAUUUGAAUAUCUUUCCAUAUCAGAUGUAGAAAAAUACUGUUAGAUGAUAUUAGGUUCCGUAUAAAAUAUGUAAAUGGAUUAAUAACUUUGCGAGUAAUUUCAAAAAUAAUUUUGCAAAUCAUUCGAGGUAUUGAACUUCUAUUAUGAUUUUAUGAUGAAAAAAAUAUAGAACGUUGCAGAUUAGGAUGGUAAUUUUAAAGUUUUCGUAGAAUAACAGAAAUAAAGAACGAUAUUUAAAA